rnacentral:rRNA from 1 species
GAUGAACGCUGGCGGCGUGCCUAACACAUGCAAGUCGAGCGUGAACCCUGCGAAUGAAACUUCGGUCGAUUUUGCAGGGGGAAAGCGGCGGACGGGUGAGUAACGCGUAGGUAACCUGCCCCAUACUGAGGGAUAGCCUCGGGAAACCGGGAUUAAUACCUCAUAACACCGUAUAUUCGCAUGGAUGUGCGGUCAAAGAUUUAUCGGUAUGGGAUGGGCCUGCGUCUGAUUAGCUGGUUGGUGGGGUAACGGCCUACCAAGGCGACGAUCAGUAGCCGACCUGAGAGGGUGAUCGGCCACAUUGGAACUGAGACACGGUCCAAACUCCUACGGGAGGCAGCAGUGGGGAAUAUUGCACAAUGGGCGAAAGCCUGAUGCAGCAACGCCGCGUGAGCGAAGAAGGCCUUUGGGUCGUAAAGCUCUGUCGGGUAGGAAGAUAAUGACGGUACUACCCGAGGAAGCCCCGGCUAACUACGUGCCAGCAGCCGCGGUAAUACGUAGGGGGCGAGCGUUAUCCGGAAUUACUGGGCGUAAAGAGUGCGUAGGUGGCUGCUUAAGCGUGAGGUGAAAGGCAAUGGCUUAACCAUUGUGAGCCUCGCGAACUGGGUGGCUUGAGUGCAGGAGAGGAAAGCGGAAUUCCUAGUGUAGCGGUGAAAUGCGUAGAUAUUAGGAGGAACACCAGUGGCGAAGGCGGCUUUCUGGACUGCAACUGACACUGAGGCACGAAAGCGUGGGGAGCAAACAGGAUUAGAUACCCUGGUAGUCCACGCCGUAAACGAUGAGCACUAGGUGUCGGGGUCGCAAGACUUCGGUGCCGCAGUUAACGCAUUAAGUGCUCCGCCUGGGGAGUACGCACGCAAGUGUGAAACUCAAAGGAAUUGACGGGGACCCGCACAAGCAGCGGAGCAUGUGGUUUAAUUCGAAGCAACGCGAAGAACCUUACCAGGGCUUGACAUCCCUCUGACAGGUGGGUAACGCCACCCUCUCUUCGGAGCAGAGGUGACAGGUGGUGCAUGGUUGUCGUCAGCUCGUGUCGUGAGAUGUUGGGUUAAGUCCCGCAACGAGCGCAACCCUUGUCAUUAGUUGCCAUCAGGUGAUGCUGGGCACUCUAAUGAGACUGCCGGGGAUAACUCGGAGGAAGGUGGGGAUGACGUCAAAUCAUCAUGCCCCUUAUGUUCUGGGCUACACACGUGCUACAAUGGCCGGUACAGCGAGAGGCGAACCCGCGAGGGGGAGCAAAACUCCAAAACCGGUCCCAGUUCGGAUUGCAGGCUGAAACUCGCCUGCAUGAAGUCGGAGUUGCUAGUAAUCGCGAAUCAGCAUGUCGCGGUGAAUGCGUUCCCGGGUCUUGUACACACCGCCCGUCACACCACGGAAGUUGGGGGCGCCCGAAGUCGGUCAGUAAAUAGGCUGCCUAAGGCGAAACCAAUGACUGGGGUG